rnacentral:lncRNA from 1 species
GGUGGUCCCGAGCAGCCUCUUCUUUUCGCGGCCGAGGAAAGGAACUGGUCAUCGCGAGGAGACGGGAAGAGCAGGCGAUGUCACCAAGGCCGGGAGAGAUGGCCUGGGACCAGGCAUAACUGGAGGGGUGUGAUGGCUAGAAACCUUUGAUUUGGGGUUUGCCCGGAGAACGGGGGUGGAGGAGGGUGGCCCGGGUUUUUUAAGGCAAGCAGAAAUUUGAUUAUAGCGUACGGCAGAGCUCUGUGAUUUGCGGUGAGCGGAUUUCAUUAGCUACGGCCGUUUGAGUCCCGGGAAAGCUGCUCAAGCCGCGGGGCCGGGAAUGAAGCUGACCCCGAAAGGGGCUCGGUUCUCCGGGCCGGGGAGAGCGCGGCGGCUCCUCGCUGCUGCGGGAGCGGAGCGGGCUGGGCACGGCCCCUGCCGCUCCCCUUUUCCCCCUGCUGAACCGCUCUUCCGAUCUGCUCCCCUUUUCCCCGCAAUCGGCCCCGUCCCGCCUUUCCCGGCGGACGGGACAGCCCCUGUGCCUGUGCUUGCUUUCCGCGGGGAGAGUGUGUCACAGGGCUCCUUUGCACUCGUGUCACCUGCCGCAGCCGUCACCGAGUCGGGAGAGAGCGUUUGGCGCUGCUCGCCGCGGCGUUCACCUGCGGCGUUUCCACUUUUGAUGGUGGGUGGUGAUGGUGGAGGCAGCAACGGGCAGGAGGGGCCCGGAGGGGCCGCCCAGCCCAGCCCAGCCCAGCCCAGCCCGGUCCGGUCCGGCCCGGACCGAAGGGGUGCCUGGCGAGCCGCCGGCGCUGCGGCGGGCCCCCCCCCCCCCCCCCCCCCCCCCCCCCCCCCCCCCCCCCCCCCCCCCCCCCCCCCCCCCCCCCCCCCCCCCCCCCCCCCCCCCCCCCCCCCCCCCCCCCCCCCCCCCCCCCCCCCCCCCCCCCCCCCCCCCCCCCCCCCCCCCCCCCGAGCCGCCGGCGCUGCGGCGGGAUCGGCUCUGAUUGCCGUCAACGAAUGUCACCGGCAGAAGGAAAAACAAAAGCUGCCUCCAAAGAUCGCCGAGCAGAAUUUGGCAAGG